rnacentral:rRNA from 1 species
UACGUAGGUGGCGAGCGUUAUCCGGAAUGAUUGGGCGUAAAGCGCGCGUAGGCUGUUGUGUAAGUUGGGGGUGAAAUCCCACGGCUCAACCGUGGAACAGCCCUUGAUACUGCGCGACUUGAAUCCGGGAGAGGGUGGCGGAAUUCCAGGUGUAGGAGUAAAAUGCGUAGAUAUAUGGAAGAACACCAGUGGCGAAGGCGGCCGCCUGGCCUGUUGCUGACGCUGAGGCACGAAAGCGUGGGGAGCAAAUAGG